AUUUAGAUUUGUAACCUAUCCAGCAAAAUCAUCAAUCGUGCAUUCAAGAUCUGUAGGUAAAUAAAAGAAUGGGAAAUUUUCACCACAAAUCUCAUCUAGCCAUAACAAAUCUUAACAUCAGAAUAAAAGAACAAAGGGAAGAAAAAUCACCUUGAUCUUCUUCAACUGUUUAGUUAAAUUCUUCUUCUUCCCUUCAUCCUCAGAUCUGCACACAUAAUGUUUAAAAAACUAAUAUAUUAGUAAGUUUAAACAUUAGCGAUGGGAGGGGAGGAAGUAAGAGAAAAAGUGAGAGGAGAGCACCUUGGCAAGACUCUUGAGGAAUUGCAAAAAGUGAGAGGAGAGCACCUUGGCAAGACUCUUGAGGAAUUGCUUAGCAAAAAAUUGAGUCUGGCAACCAUGAC
rnacentral:lncRNA from 1 species